rnacentral:rRNA from 1 species
CCCUUAGAUGUUCUGGGCUGCACGCGCGCUACACUGAUGCACUCAACGAGUUUUCGACCUUGCCCGAUAGGGCUGGGUAAUCUUUUUAAAAUGCAUCGUGAUGGGGAUAGAUUAUUGCAAUUAUUAAUCAUGAACGAGGAAUUCCUAGUAAGUGCAAGUCAACAGCUUGCGUUGAUUACGUCCCUGCCCUUUGUACACACCGCCCGUCGCUACUACUGAUUGGAUGUUUAAGCGAGGUUCUCGAACUGCUAGUGACUGAUCUUCGGUGAGGUCGCAGUGUGGGAAGUGAUCCUAGCUUUGGUGUCUAGAGGAAGUAAAAGUCGUAACA